AUUGAACGCUGGCGGCAGGCUUAACACAUGCCAGUCGAGCGAGCGGCGGACGGGUGAGUAAUGUCUGGGAAACUGCCUGAUGGAGGGGGAUAACUACUGGAAACGGUAGCUAAUACCGCAUACCAUCAGAUGUGCCCAGAGGGGAUUAGCUACACGGUGGGGUAAUGGCUCACCUAGGCGACGAUCCCUAGCUGGUCUGAGAGGAUGACAAGCCACAGUGGAACGGAGACACGGUCCAGACUCCUACGGGAGGCAGCAGUGGGGAAUAUUGCAAAAUGGGCGCAAGCCUGAUGAAGCCAUGCCGCGUGUGUGAAGAAGGCCUUCGGGUUGUAAAGCACUUUCAGCGAGGAGGCGUUACUCGUAGAAGAAGCACCGGCUAACUCCGUGCCAGCAGCCGCGGUAAUUC
rnacentral:rRNA from 1 species